rnacentral:rRNA from 1 species
UGGGGAAUAUUGCACAAUGGAGGAAACUCUGAUGCAGCGAUGCCGCGUGAGGGAAGAAGGUUUUAGGAUUGUAAACCUCUGUCUUCAGGGACGAAAAAAGGACGGUACCUGAGGAGGAAGCUCCGGCUAACUACGUGCCAGCAGCCGCGGUAAUACGUAGGGAGCGAGCGUUGUCCGGAAUUACUGGGUGUAAAGGGAGCGUAGGCGGGAUCGCAAGUCAGAUGUGAAAACUAUGGGCUUAACCCAUAAACUGCAUUUGAAACUGUGGUUCUUGAGUGAAGUAGAGGUAAGCGGAAUUCCUAGUGUAGCGGUGAAAUGCGUAGAUAUUAGGAGGAACAUCAGUGGCGAAGGCGGCUUACUGGGCUUUAACUGACGCUGAGGCUCGAAAGCGUGGGGAGCAAACAGGAUUAGAUACCCUGGUAGUCCACGCCGUAAACGAUGAUUACUAGGCGUGGGGGGACUGACCCCUUCCGUGCCGCAGCAAACGCAAUAAGUAAUCCACCUGGGGAGUACGACCGCAAGGUUGAAACUCAAAGGAAUUGACGGGGGCCCGCACAAGCAGUGGAGUAUGUGGAUUAAUUCGAAGCAACGCGAAGAACCUUACCAGGUCUUGACAUCGUAUGCAUAGCUCAGAGAUGAGUGAAAUCUCUUCGGAGACAUAUAGACAGGUGGUGCAUGGUUGUCGUCAGCUCGUGUCGUGAGAUGUUGGGUUAAGUCCCGCAACGAGCGCAACCCUUACUGUUAGUUGCUACGCAAGAGCACUCUAGCAGGACUGCCGUUGACAAAACGGAGGAAGGUGGGGAUGACGUCAAAUCAUCAUGCCCCUUAUGACCUGGGCCUCACACGUACUACAAUGGCUGUAAACAGAGGGAAGCAAAGCCGCGAGGUAGAGCGAACCCCUAAAAGCAGUCUUAGUUCGGAUUGUAGGCUGCAACCCGCCUACAUGAAGUCGGAAUUGCUAGUAAUCGCAGAUCAGCAUGCUGCGGUGAAUACGUUCCC